UACAGAGGGGGCGAGCGUUAUUCGGAAUUAUUGGGCGUAAAGGGCGCGUAGGCGGCCUUUCAAGUGACGGGUGAAAUCCCUCGGCUUAACCGAGGAACUGCCUGUCAGACUGGAAGGCUUGAGACCGGGAGAGGUGAGUGGAAUUCCCAGUGUAGCGGUGAAAUGCGUAGAUAUUGGGAGGAACACCAGUGGCGAAGGCGGCUCACUGGACCGGAACUGACGCUGAGGCACGAAAGCGUGGGGAGCAAACAGG
rnacentral:rRNA from 1 species